rnacentral:sRNA from 1 species
AGUUUUAAGUUAGCAGCCUGACUUUAAAGGCUGAUGGCUGGUGAUUUUUUUAAUCACCAGCCU